CGAAAGCCUGACGGAGCAACGCCGCGUGAGGGAUGGAGGCCUUUGGGCUGUAAACCUCUUUUCUCAAGGAAGAAGAUCUGACGGUACUUGAGGAAUAAGCCACGGCUAAUUCCGUGCCAGCAGCCGCGGUAAUACGGGAGUGGCAAGCGUUAUCCGGAAUUAUUGGGCGUAAAGCGUCCGCAGGCGGCCGUUUAAGUCUGUUGUUAAAUCGUGGAGCUCAACUCCAUCACGGCAAUGGAAACUGUUCGGCUUGAGUAUGGUAGGGGCAGAGGGAAUUUCCGGUGUAGCGGUGAAAUGCGUAGAUAUCGGGAAGAACACCAGUGGCGAAAGCGCUCUGCUGGGCCAUUACUGACGCUCAUGGACGAAAGCCAGGGGAGCGAAAGGGAUUAGAUACCCCUGUAGUCCUGGCCGUAAACGAUGAACACUAGAUGUUGGGGGAAUCGACCCCCUCGGUGUCGUAGCUAACGCGUUAAGUGUUCCGCCUGGGGAGUACGCACGCAAGUGUGAAACUCAAAGGAAUUGACGGGGGCCCGCACAAGCGGUGGAGUAUGUGGUUUAAUUCGAUGCAACGCGAAGAACCUUACCAAGGCUUGACAUCCUGCGAAUCUCUAAGAAAUUAGAGAGUGCCUUCGGGAACGCAGUGACAGGUGGUGCAUGGCUGUCGUCAGCUCGUGUCGUGAGAUGUUGGGUUAAGUCCCGCAACGAGCGCAACCCACGUUUUUAGUUGCCAGCAUUCAGUUGGGCACUCUAGAAAGACUGCCGGUGACAAACCGGAAGAAGGUGUGGACGACGUCAAGUCAUCAUGCCCCUUACGCCUUGGGCUACACACGUACUACAAUGCUGCGGACAAAGAGUAGCGAUCUUGCGAAAGUUAGCUAAUCUCAUAAACCGUGGCUCAGUUCAGAUCGUAGGCUGCAACUCGCCUACGUGAAGGAGGAAUCGCUAGUAAUCGCAGGUCAGCAUACUGCGGUGAAUACGUUCCCGGGCCUUGUACACACCGCCCGUCACACCAUGGAAGUUGGCCAUGCCCGAAGUCGUUACUCUAACCUUUUGGAAGAGGGCGCCGAAGGCAGGGCUAAUGACUGGGGUGAAGUCGUAACAAGGUAGCCGUAGCGGAAGCUGCGGCUGGAUCACCUCCUAA
rnacentral:rRNA from 1 species